rnacentral:rRNA from 1 species
GGUAAAUCUCGUGCCAGCCACCGCGGUCAUACGAUUAACCCAAAUUAAUAGAUCCACGGCGUAAAGAGUGUUUAAGAAAAAAAAUCACAAUAGAGUUAAAUUAUAACUAAGCUGUAAAAAGCCCUAGUUAAAAUAAAAUAACCCACGAAAGUGACUCUAAUAAUCCUGACACACGAUAGCUAGGACCCAAACUGGGAUUAGAUACCCCACUAUGCCUAGCCCUAAACCCAAAUAGUUACAUAACAAAACUAUUCGCCAGAGUACUACUCGCAACUGCCUAAAACUCAAAGGACUUGGCGGUGCUUCACAUCCACCUAGAGGAGCCUGUUCUAUAAUCGAUAAACCCCGAUAGACCUUACCAACCCUUGCCAAUUCAGCCUAUAUACCGCCAUCUUCAGCAAACCCUAAAAAGGAACAAUAGUAAGCACAAUCAUAGCACAUAAAAACGUUAGGUCAAGGUGUAGCUUAUGGGUUGGAAAGAAAUGGGCUACAUUUUCUACAUAAGAAUAUCCACCACACGAAAGUUUUUAUGAAACUAAAAACCAAAGGAGGAUUUAGCAGUAAAUCAAGAAUAGAGUGCUUGAUUGAAUAAGGCCAUGAAGCACGCACACACCGCCCGUCACCCUCCUCAAGCAUGUAGUAAUAAAAAUAACCUAUAUUCAAUUACACAACCAUGCAAGAAGAGACAAGUCGUAACAAGGUAAGCAUACUGGA